rnacentral:rRNA from 1 species
UACGAAGGGGGCUAGCGUUGCUCGGAAUCACUGGGCGUAAAGGGUGCGUAGGCGGGUCUUUAAGUCAGGUGUGAAAUCCUGGAGCUCAACUCCAGAACUGCCUUUGAUACUGAAGAUCUUGAGUUCGGGAGAGGUGAGUGGAAUUCCCGGUGUAGCGGUGAAAUGCGCAGAUAUCGGGAAGAACACCCGUGGCGAAGGCGGCUCUCUGGGACGGUACUGACGCUGAGACGCGAAAGCGUGGGGAGCGAACAGG